GCGAUGCGAAAGGGGUGCUGAUGAUGAAAAUCAAAGGCUGAGAUUAUACCCUAUACAAAAUUUUGUAGAUGAACCUGAACUUGGUAAUGCAAGCGUAGGGAUUCGCUCCUCAUUUUAU
rnacentral:ncRNA from 1 species